UACGGGGGGGGCAAGCGUUGUUCGGAAUUACUGGGCGUAAAGGGCUCGUAGGUGGCCAACUAAGUCGGACGUGAAAUCCCUCAGCUUAACUGGGGAACUGCGUCCGAUACUGGAUGGCUCGAGUUUGGGAGAGGGAUGCGGAAUUCCAGGUGUAGCGGUGAGAUGCGUAGAUAUCUGGAGGAACACCGGUGGCGAAGGCGGCAUCCUGGACCAACACUGACACUGAGGAGCGAAAGCCAGGGGAGCAAACGGG
rnacentral:rRNA from 1 species